UGGGGAAUUUUGGACAAUGGGCGAAAGCCUGAUCCAGCAAUGCCGCGUGUGUGAAGAAGGCCUUCGGGUUGUAAAGCACUUUUGUCCGGAAAGAAAUCCUUGGCUCUAAUACAGUCGGGGGAUGACGGUACCGGAAGAAUAAGCACCGGCUAACUACGUGCCAGCAGCCGCGGUAAUACGUAGGGUGCAAGCGUUAAUCGGAAUUACUGGGCGUAAAGCGUGCGCAGGCGGUUUGCUAAGACCGAUGUGAAAUCCCCGGGCUCACCUGGGAACUGCAUUGGUGACUGGCAGGCUAGAGUAUGGCAGAGGGGGGUAGAAUUCCACGUGUAGCAGUGAAAUGCGUAGAGAUGUGGAGGAAUACCGAUGGCGAAGGCAGCCCCCUGGGCCAAUACUGACGCUCAUGCACGAAAGCGUGGGGAGCAAACAGGAUUCAGAUACCCUGGUAGUCCAGCGCCCUAAACGAUGUCAACUAGUUGUUGGGGACUUCAUUUCCUUAGUAACGUAGCUAACGCGUGAAGUUGACCGCCUGGGGAGUACGGUCGCAAGAUU
rnacentral:rRNA from 1 species